rnacentral:rRNA from 1 species
AAACCUGAGGAACCCAAAAGAUCGAAUGGGGAGAUUCAUCGUCAGCGGCGCUGGCUUCACGGUGGCUCGUGAUGUCGCGUGGCUUCGGUCACGCGGUACGCGGCCAUCGCGUUGAGUCCGGCGUCGGCGUGCACUUCUCCCCUAGUAGGACGUCGCGACCCGUUGGGUGUCGAUCUACGGCCCGGGUGGGUGUCUGUCGUGUCUCGAUUUAUUCGUACGCGACAAACCCCCGGUCGCCAGAUCGGCUGCUCGGCGGUACUCGCAUGGUAUCGGGCCGCAAUUCUCGAACUGCGUCGGGCCCGUCGCAAGCGCGGUCAGUUAGUCGCGGAGGUACGGACCUAGCGCCGUCCCCGUGCCUGGCCAGCUGUUGGCAGACGGUGACCUCUGACUGGCCAAAAGAUACCGGUCGGCGACGCUACUGCUUUGGGUAAUCUCAGGACCCGUCUUGAAACACGGACCAAGGAGUCUAACAUGUGCGCGAGUCAUUGGGACAGCAUGCCUAAAGGCGAAAUGAAAGUGAAGGUAGGCCUAGCGCCGACCGAGGGAGGAUGGGCCGCGUUACGAUGCGGCUCCGCACUCCCGGGGUGUCUCGUUCUCAU